UACGGGGGGGGCAAGCGUUGUUCGGAAUUACUGGGCGUAAAGGGCUCGUCGGCGGCCAACUAAGUCAGACGUGAAAUCCCUCGGCUUAACCGGGGAACUGCGUCUGAUACUGGAUGGCUAGAGGUUGGGAGAGGGAUGCGGAAUUCCAGGUGUAGCGGUGAAAUGCGUAGAUAUCUGGAGGAAUACCGGUGGCGAAGGCGGCAUCCUGGACCGAGAUUGACGCUGAUGAGCGAAAGCUAGGGGAGCAAACGGG
rnacentral:rRNA from 1 species